UAGAUUACGAGCAUUAAAGCUAGGGUACAUACAAGUAAAUGGAAUAUUUGCAAAUAUCACUUAGUACAGAUGACUUGUGAUACAGAUGUAAUACACAGGACAUGCGCUUAUUUGAUAUUCUGAUGUCUACGAAACAGAAAUAUGAUGGAAGUGACACAACCGAGAAAAUUCAGAGGUGACAACUGACAAAAAUAUCAAUACCUAGUUAGUUUUCUAUAUGUGCAAUGAGGUGCAGAUUAUGGAAGUACCAAAGAAGUGAAAUUUAGACAAGCAGUUGAUAAGCAAAUUGUCAAUCUUUCCACGUCUUAAUUCAAAGGCGUAACAAAGUUAUUCCAUACAAAAUUCAAGUACCGUCUCAAGCAUGGCAUAUAUUAUUAACAAAACCACCAAAAAUAUAACCUUAAA
rnacentral:misc_RNA from 1 species